rnacentral:rRNA from 1 species
AUUGAACGCUGGCGGCAGGCCUAACACAUGCAAGUCGAGCGGAUGAAGGGAGCUUGCUCCUGGAUUCAGCGGCGGACGGGUGAGUAAUGCCUAGGAAUCUGCCUGGUAGUGGGGGAUAACGUCCGGAAACGGGCGCUAAUACCGCAUACGUCCUGAGGGAGAAAGUGGGGGAUCUUCGGACCUCACGCUAUCAGAUGAGCCUAGGUCGGAUUAGCUAGUUGGUGGGGUAAAGGCCUACCAAGGCGACGAUCCGUAACUGGUCUGAGAGGAUGAUCAGUCACCCUGAACUGGACAACCGUCCCGGCCCCCUACGGAGGCAGCAGUGGGGAAUAUUGGACAAUGGGCGAAAGCCUGAUCCAGCCAUGCCGCGUGUGUGAAGAAGGUCUUCGGAUUGUAAAGCACUUUAAGUUGGGAGGAAGGGCAGUAAGUUAAUACCUUGCUGUUUUGACGUUACCAACAGAAUAAGCACCGGCUAACUUCGUG